UUUGAAAACUGAUAAAGCGUGACGCGAUAACAUUUGUAUAAAUACCAUGCAAGCGCGUCCAUUUUUUUAAACAGAGCUAGCCAGUCGUGGAUGCAAAUCAUUUAAAGAUUGAUUCAUCAAGUUGACGACAGCAGUCAUUUCGUCACGUCUUUUGAAGCUUGUUUGAAGUAAAGAUUUAACGCCAUGGAUAAAAAAUCGAAAGCUGUGUCCAGUGCUGCUGCCUCUCUGAGAAAAAUGGGAGAUAGCUUACAAAAAAAACAAGAGGCGAAAAAAAAGAAUAGCAAUACAUCAAAAAACUCCUCAUAUGGAAAUAAAAGCAAAACCUCGUAUGGUACAAAGAAAACGGAAAAGAAAAAAUGGUAGCUGGUAAACAUUGAACAACGCUUAUGUAAUGUUUUUUUCCAUACAAAGAACUGUUGUGGAUU